CAGGGAGUCUUGGAGAUGUCUCAUCCACAGGGUCAGCAUGAGUUGGGAUCAACUCGAAGGGCAGUUAACAACAGCGAUCAGACCUAGCCAUGGAAAAAGUGCCAUGAAGUCACAACCAGUCCUUUAAAGGAGACCUGGUGGCGUAGUGGUUAAUUUCAGGUACUGCAGCCACAAGAUUGUGAGUCUGAUCCUAGAACAGGGCUCCAAGGUUGACCCAGCCUUCCGUCAUUUCAUAGGUUGGUAAAAUGAGUACCCAGCUUUUGGGUGCAAAUUGACUUACAGAUUGUAAACUGCUUAGAGAGUGCUGAGUUUACUGAUAAGCGGCAUAGAAAUGUUCUUGCUAUUGCUCUGGACUCAAAAGAAGGUGAUUUUUGGCACACUUUCCCCACCAUGUCACUCACUUCUUCACUUGCUUUGCAGCCAGAAAAUUAGACUGGGCAGGAAAGUACAUGGUACCAAUCCUUGGGGAAGGCAGCAGGAGAGGGAGCUGAAGACUUCCUCUUCCCAGGACCAUUUCUGUCUUAACAGCAACACCACACAAAAAGUGUGUGUGUGUGUGACCAUCUGCAGCUUGGGAUUCCUAGACACUGAGGGCCAUAAAACAUUUGCUCCAGUUGCACCACUGAUAAUCAAACCCUGGGCAGAGGCAGUGUUCCAGUGGAAUGUGUGUGGUUUUACCUGGUGGCACAGUGGUUACUGCUGGUACUGCGGCCACAGGGUUGUGAAUUCGAUCCCAGGGCUCCAAGAUUGACUCAGCCUUCCAUCCUUUCAUAGAAUUUCUUAGAAAUGUGUCACCAAAAAGGAACAGCUCAUUCUGGACAGUGAUACUACCUCCGACAAUGGGGGACACCUGGCUCAAGGAGACAACAUGUGAAAGGGAUCUAGGAGUCCAAGUAGACCACAAGUU